AUUAUUUUCAGUUAUGAAUUAUAACUUAAGCUUUAAAUUCAAAUUGUAAAUUUAAUUUUAUAUAUCUGAAAUUUUAAUUAUAAAUUCAACUCAAAUUUAAGUUUAAACUUAGAAUUUAAAUUUUAAUUCUGAAUUCUUAAUAUAAAUUUAAAUAUAAAUUGCGAGUAUAAGUCAUUUGUUCAUAUUUUCACUUUUUUAUAUACAGUUAACGAUUAAAAUUAUAAACCAUAAUUUUUCGUGUUUCACUUUAUAACCAGCCANA
rnacentral:lncRNA from 1 species